GGUGAUGAACAGGGAAGCCUGGCAGGCUGCAGUCCGUGGUGCUGCAGAGUCAGACACAACUGAGCAACUGAACAACAACGGGCAAGCCAAAGUGUUGGAGAGGGAAUAUUCUAGAGGCAACCUUCAGGCACAUGAGCUGGAUAGGUGUUGCAGCUCCCUUGCCUUGUGGGUUAGGCUCACUGGCCGGCUCCUGAGGUCCCUGGCAGGAUUGAGCCCCAGCUGCCCGCUGAGAUUGCUGACUCAUCACCACUCUUUAUUGUCUUCCUUCUCUUCCAGCAGCCUCUGCUCAUCUGUGGCCAAGUUUCCUGAGAUCACCUCCCAGACCAGUCACUUGUGUUUGCUCCCUUGCUUCAGGGACUGCUUCUGGAAACCUCAAAUUGUGGCGAAAGGAAAAGCCCUGUAGAGGGAUGACUCUAAGCAGAGAAGCCCACCCAGCAUUUCCUAUUAGGCUGAAAACAACAUAUCACUCCUAUUUCGUGUGCACAGCUGAUUUCCUGUGCCAGACUCUGACACAUCAUUUUGAGUGGGGAUCAUGACCUCCAUCUGUGUACGUGUGCAAGGGAAGGAAAGCCACGUGGAGACUUGCACAUGUGCCAGGGUCUUCUCCAUAGUCAUUGUGAUUUGGUCUGCUGCUGCUGCUGUGUCGCUUCAGUCGUGUUCGACUCUGUGUGACCCCAUAGACGGCAGCCCGCCAGGCUCCCCCAUCCCUGGGAUUCUCCAGGCAAGAACACUGG